ensembl:snoRNA U3 Small nucleolar RNA U3
AAGACUAUACUUUCAGGAAUCAUUUCUAUAGUUUGUUUACAAUUUCUAUUCAUUACUGCUAGAGAUAGUACAAGAAAAGU